UACAGAGGUCCCAAGCGUUACUGAGAAUCACUGGGUUUAAAGGGUGCGUAGGUGGUCCGUUAAGUCAGUUGUGAAAUCCCCGGGCUCAACUCGGGAACUGCUUCUGAUACUGGCGGACUUGAGGCCAGUAGGGGUCACUAGAACUGACGGUGGAGCGGUGAAAUGCGUAGAGAUCGGAAAGAACACCAACGGCGAAAGCACUCUGCUGGGCCGACACUGACACUGAGAGACGAAAGCUAGGGGAGCGAAUGGG
rnacentral:rRNA from 1 species